rnacentral:rRNA from 1 species
UUUUUUUCGCUUUGGGAAUUGCGGAGGACAUUACGAUUUACGGUUCUACCGUUAUCUACCUUUGUCUAUGCGUACUACUUGUUUCCUUGGGGAGUCCGCUCCCCAGGACACUUUAUCAACCCUUUUGCAAUAGCAGUCAGCGUCUGAUUUAUAAGUUAAUAAUUAAAACUUUCAACAAUGGAUCUCUUGGUUCUGGCAUCGAUGAAGAACGCAGCGAAAUGCGAUAAGUAGUGUGAAUUGCAGAAUUCAGUGAAUCAUCGAAUCUUUGAACGCACAUUGCGCCCCUUGGUAUUCCAUGGGGCAUGCCUGUUCGAGCGUCAUUUGAACCCUCAAGCUCUGCUUGGUGUUGGGUGUUUGUCCCGCCUCUGCGUGCGGACUCGCCUUAAAGGAAUUGGCGGCCAUGGAAUUCGGCUUUGAGCGCAGCACAUUGCGGACUCUUUGCUGGUACAUUGGCGUCCAGAAGCCCUUUUUUACUCUUGACCUCGGAUCAGGUAGGGAUACCCGCUGAACUUAUGCAUAUCAAUAAGCGGAGG